rnacentral:rRNA from 1 species
GAUGAACGCUGGCGGCGUGCCUAAUACAUGCAAGUCGAGCGAACAGACGAGGAGCUUGCUCCUCUGACGUUAGCGGCGGACGGGUGAGUAACACGUUGAUAACCUACCUAUAAGACUGGGAUAACUUCGGGAAACCGGAGCUAAUACUGGAUAAUAUAUUGAACCGCAUGGUUCAAUAGUGAAAGACGGUUUUGCUGUCACUUAUAGAUGGAUCCGCGCCGCAUUAGCUAGUUGGUAAGGUAACGGCUUACCAAGGCAACGAUGCGUAGCCGACCUGAGAGGGUGAUCGGCCACACUGGAACUGAGACACGGUCCAGACUCCUAAGGGAGGCAGCAGUAGGGAAUCUUCCGCAAUGGGCGAAAGCUUGACGGAGCAACGCCGCGUGAGUGAUGAAGGUCUUCGGAUCGUAAAACUCUGUUAUUAGGGAAGAACAAAUGUGUAAGUAACUAUGCACGUAUUGACGGUACCUAAUCAGAAAGCCACGGCUAACUACGUG